GUAGGUGGAGAAGAAGCACCGGCCAACUACGUGCCAGCCGCCGCGGUAAUACGUAGGGUGCGAGCGUUGUCCGGAAUUACUGGGCGUAAAGAGCUCGUAGGUGGUUUGUCGCGUUGUUCGUGA
rnacentral:rRNA from 1 species